rnacentral:rRNA from 1 species
AGAGUUUGAUCCUGGCUCAGAUUGAACGCUGGCGGCAUGCCUUACACAUGCAAGUCGAACGGCAGCAUGAUCUAGCUUGCUAGAUUGAUGGCGAGUGGCGAACGGGUGAGUAAUACAUCGGAACGUGCCCUGUAGUGGGGGAUAACUAGUCGAAAGAUUAGCUAAUACCGCAUACGACCUGAGGGUGAAAGUGGGGGACCGCAAGGCCUCAUGCUAUAGGAGCGGCCGAUGUCUGAUUAGCUAGUUGGUGAGGUAAAGGCUCACCAAGGCGACGAUCAGUAGCUGGUCUGAGAGGACGAUCAGCCACACUGGGACUGAGACACGGCCCAGACUCCUACGGGAGGCAGCAGUGGGGAAUUUUGGACAAUGGGGGCAACCCUGAUCCAGCAAUGCCGCGUGUGUGAAGAAGGCCUUCGGGUUGUAAAGCACUUUUGUCCGGAAAGAAAUCGCACUUACUAAUAUUAGGUGUGGAUGACGGUACCGGAAGAAUAAGGACCGGCUAACUACGUGCCAGCAGCCGCGGUAAUACGUAGGGUCCAAGCGUUAAUCGGAAUUACUGGGCGUAAAGCGUGCGCAGGCGGUUGUGCAAGACCGAUGUGAAAUCCCCGGGCUUAACCUGGGAAUUGCAUUGGUGACUGCACGGCUAGAGUGUGUCAGAGGGGGGUAGAAUUCCACGUGUAGCAGUGAAAUGCGUAGAGAUGUGGAGGAAUACCGAUGGCGAAGGCAGCCCCCUGGGAUAACACUGACGCUCAUGCACGAAAGCGUGGGGAGCAAACAGGAUUAGAUACCCUAGUAGUCC